rnacentral:ncRNA from 1 species
CGCGGGCGCCUCCUUGGAGCGUAAUUCCCACCGAGCGGCGGGUAGAAUCCUUUGCAGACGACUUAAAUACGCGACGGGGUAUUGUAAGUGGAAGAGUGGCCUUGCUGUCACGAUCCACUGAGAUUCAGCCCUUUGUCGCUUCGAUUCGU